CCUAAGCAUAUCUGGGUGGUGCAUUUACGAGCAUUGCUGCGUGUCGUGUGUGCACUUUGUGUGACAGCUACGCUGCAGGGAGUGUUUCGCCUCAACUCCGAGUUCCUGACGGGACUAUGCUUGCCCCAUCCGAGGACGAGCUUAGCUUCGGCUGGCAGUGCUUUCGUGACGUUUCCGCUUCCACUGGAGACACUGUAGUGUUGCGAAGCGACCUAGGGAGUGAAGAAAACGCUUCCGAGUGGGUCAAGCGGUACAGUGAAGCGACGGAUCGUGGAUCGUCUACAACACACAAAAAGAAGGCAGAUGCCAAAAGAUUGUCUGUCACAAGGUCUGGCGGUGUCAUCUCCAUCACCACAACAAAGUUGGUAAGAAGCGAAACACCAGCUGUAUGGGAAUGAUAGACGUUAAGGUGAAGAAGGUAAAUUAUAGCACCAAGAGGAAUGACGCUUACCUUCGCCGAGACCCUUCACUUUGUGCUGUGAUGAAGUUGCACCUACAGCACAACCAUCCAAUUGAGAGUGCUGCUGCUCUGCGUUUGCUGCGUUGUAAUGACGAAACGAAAGCACUAUUUGAAGAAUAUUUCUCCGCUGGUCUGACUCCUGCUGAAGCCAUACGCCUGCAUGAGAGCACGCUGUCAGUGGAAGGAGAUGCGGCAAGCCUCGUCCGACUGGCUAGUGGUGCUUUGAAUCCAACAAAGAGGGCUGUGUACUACCUCUAUGAAAAGUGGCGGCAGGAACAUUACGGUACAGUGUGUGACCCUUUCACAAAGCUUCAGAAGAAAAUACCCGGCUAUGCAGCACUAGGUGAGGAGACAAAAAUUUCACCAUAGCUUUGUGUCAGUUGCCAGAAUUCUGUAGUGACCUUUCUGCUAUCACAAGACAAUGUGCUGUUGCUCUUUGCAGUUUAUUUUGUGCCUUCUUGUGCCAACCAGCAAUGCAAAUCUGAAGGCUGUGCAUAUGUUUCUCUCCUGGUUGCUUUGAUGUGGUAGCCAUCAUACAAAAACA